UACGUAGGUGGCAAGCGUUUGUCCGGAUUUAUUGGGCGUAAAGCGAGUGCAGGCGGUUCAAUAAGUCUGAUGUGAAAGCCUUCGGCUCAACCGGAGAAUUGCAUCAGAAAACUGUUGAACUUGAGUGCAGAAGAGGAGAGUGGAACUCCAUGUGUAGCGGUGGAAUGCGUAGAUAUAUGGAAGAACACCAGUGGCGGAAGGCGGCUCUCUGGUCUGCAACUGACGCUGAGGCUCGAAAGCAUGGGUAGCGAACAGG
rnacentral:rRNA from 1 species